CCUGGUGGCGAGUGGCGAACGGGUGAGUAAUACAUCGGAACGUGUCCUGUAGUGGGGGAUAGCCCGGCGAAAGCCGGAUUAAUACCGCAUACGCUCUACGGAGGAAAGGGGGGGAUCUUAGGACCUCUCGCUACAGGGGCGGCCGAUGGCAGAUUAGCUAGUUGGUGGGGUAAAGGCCUACCAAGGCGACGAUCUGUAGCUGGUCUGAGAGGACGACCAGCCACACUGGGACUGAGACACGGCCCAGACUCCUACGGGAGGCAGCAGUGGGGAAUUUUGGACAAUGGGGGCAACCCUGAUCCAGCAAUGCCGCGUGUGUGAAGAAGGCCUUCGGGUUGUAAAGCACUUUUGUCCGGAAAGAAAACUUCUGCCCUAAUACGGCGGGAGGAUGACGGUACCGGAAGAAUAAGCACCGGCUAACUACGUGCCAGCAGCCGCGGUAAUACGUAGGGUGCAAGCGUUAAUCGGAAUUACUGGGCGUAAAGCGUGCGCAGGCGGUCCGCUAAGACAGAUGUGAAAUCCCCGGGCUUAACCUGGGAACUGCAUUUGUGACUGGCGGGCUAGAGUAUGGCAGAGGGGGGUAGAAUUCCACGUGUAGCAGUGAAAUGCGUAGAGAUGUGGAGGAAUACCGAUGGCGAAGGCAGCCCCCUGGGCCAAUACUGACGCUCAUGCACGAAAGCGUGGGGAGCAAACAGGAUUAGAUACCCUGGUAGUCCACGCCCUAAACGAUGUCAACUAGUUGUUGGGGAUUCAUUUCCUUAGUAACGAAGCUAACGCGUGAAGUUGACCGCCUGGGGAGUACGGUCGCAAGAUUAAAACUCAAAGGAAUUGACGGGGACCCGCACAAGCGGUGGAUGAUGUGGAUUAAUUCGAUGCAACGCGAAAAACCUUACCUACCCUUGACAUGUAUGGAACCUGGCUGAGAGGUCGGGGUGCCCGAAAGGGAGCCAUAACACAGGUGCUGC
rnacentral:rRNA from 1 species